AUCCAGCUGAUGAGUCACAAAUAGGAUGAAACACUCGUCCUGGAU
rnacentral:hammerhead_ribozyme from 1 species